rnacentral:rRNA from 1 species
UACGUAGGGGGCAAGCGUUGUCCGGAAUCAUUGGGCGUAAAGCGCGUGUAGGCGGCUCGGUAAGUCAGCUGUGAAAGUCCAGGGCUCAACCCUGGAAUGCCGGUUGAUACUGUCGAGCUCGAGUCCGGAAGAGGUGAGUGGAAUUCCUGGUGUAGCGGUGAAAUGCGCAGAUAUCAGGAGGAACACCAAUGGCGAAGGCAGCUCACUGGGACGGUACUGACGCUGGAGACGCGAAAGCGUGGGGAGCAAACAGG